rnacentral:snRNA from 2 species
AUACUUACCUGGCAGGGGAGCAUCUGUGAUCAGCAAGGCAGAGCUCCCAGGGUGAGGCUCAUCCAUUGCACAUCGGAUUUGCUGACCCCUGCGAUGUCCCCAAAUGCGGGAUUCUCGACUGUAUUAUUUCUGGUAGUGGGGGACUGCGUUCGCGCUUUCCCCUG